GCGGCGGUGGCGGCGGGGACGGUAGAUUUCCAGAAGUUGGUUUGGUGGUCAGUGGAUCUACUGCGAUGGAGGUAAGGGCGAAGAGGAGAUAGGCAUGGAAGAAGCACAAGGAAACGAAGGGGAAGGAAUAGGAGGAGAAGGAGAAACAGUAUAAUUUUCAUUCAAAAAGUGCAACUUUGCCCCAAAGAGCAUACUUUCGUCUCAAAUAGUAUACUUUUUAUCUUAAAUAGUUUAAUUUUCAACCAAAACACUUCUGAAACAAUGCACAACUUCAUCUUCUUUAUCUUUUUUUUUUCUCUAGUUCUUCCCCUUUUUUGUAGAAAAAAAUAUAAAAAUAUUUUUCUUUACAUCUUUUUAUUCUUUAUUCUUCUUAUUUUUUUCUAUCCUCUGCAUUUUUUUUUUUUGCUAUCAUAAUC
rnacentral:lncRNA from 1 species